UGGCCGAGAGAAGAGAUAAAGGGGGGGUUCUUUUUCCUUAUUUAUAAAAGUUGUGAUUUUCAAAUAUCCAACGAUUCAAUUUUUUAUCUGUCUUUGAAUCUAUGUUUCUACUGAUCGUUUUGAGGCUUUGCGUUGUUUGGAGCUUGGAAAAUUCUCCAAACACUGGGUAUUAUUUGGAUAAAUUUUUGGCAACUAUGCAGAUGUUUAUACUUUGGUUGCAGGCUUUGCGGAUAUAGAUAUUGACUCGUCCACCUAGCGUAUGAGUUGCUAUGAUUGGAGCAUAUCGCGACAGUCAUAAGUCACGGACUUAUGGGUAAUCCGCAUUUUGGGUAUUUUAUUUAUGGCUCGUGUCCUACGUGGCACAUGUAUUUGUUGAGCUUAUAUUUUAGUAUGUAAUUAGUGUAAUAUGUUUUAUAAGCCUUCUUGUAAAUGGCUCUUGUUGUAAUUAACUGUUAUGUAUUAGAUAUAUUUCCGCUUAUGAUA